rnacentral:misc_RNA from 1 species
GUAACCAUAUUAUCAAAAAACUUGAAUAUAGAUAUAGAUAUGGUCUCCAUAUAACUAUCCAUAACACAAAAUCAUCUAUUGAAAGACAAUGUAACACAAAAUAAACAUCCAUAAUAUCUAAAAUUCAACAGUGCAACAUAGGAGAAGGCAAAAAAGGAAGUUCUGGAUGACUUCAGAGGCAAUCUAGAAAAGUGAGGUUCCCUUUCCUUUCUUGUCCCCACCUAUUUCAAAAUGCUUGCACCUCUUGAUUGGGUGCUGUGAAACAUGUUUGCAGCCUUGGCACUGCAGCCUCAACACAAUCUUCUUUGUGGUUUUAGCCUUUUUGUGGAAGACAGGCUUGGUCUGACCACCAUAACCUGAUUGUUUCCUGUCAUAACGACGCUUCCCCUGAGCAGCCAAGCUAUCUUUCCCCUUCUUGUACUGUGUCACCUUAUGCAAGGUGUGCUUUUUGCACUCCUUGGACUUGCAGUAGGUCUUCUUUGUCUUGGGAACGUUCACCUAUGAAACACAAGUUAUCAUCAGAAAAACUAACGUAAAUCUAAUAGCUUAGCACAUGAUUUAGAACUUCAUUUUUCUGCCAGAGCUUCUUUCUUGACAGGAUAGAGGACAACAGGAAAUUUCAAUUUGGCAUAACAUAAUUCUUAAGCACACAACAAACCUAAAAUGCAUCGAAAAAAAAUUAAUGAUCAUACAUACCAUUUGACCAACACAAACAAUUAUUUGCAAUUUCCAUCAUUAUCAUCAUUAAACAAUAGCAGAAAUAAAGGAACUUGUUGACAGGUUUUGCAUACCUCUUCACUUGAUGCAAAUCAGUAUCAAACCUUAGCAAUGACAGAGAUCCAGCUAUCAUUUUAAACUCUUCCACUUAUACCAUACCUUCUCAGAGCACUAACCCAUCCUUUCCCUCUCGUGAGCAUUAAACUAUCCUUAUUAAUUUCAAACAACUCCAGUAACCAAAGGAAAAGCCCAUAACAUGAUCACUCUGAAUUUCAAGAAUCCAUUUUGCAGCUAGCUUUUGUUAAAUCAACAACAACCCAUUAAACCCAAAUGAAAAACACACCAAAAAUCUACUUCCGAGAAUCCAUUGAUGGUUUGGAAGUAAAACAUCAAAAUAGCAAAAGAAAAAAAAAAGCACAGAAAUAGAUGAUAAUAAUAAUAAUAAAAUUGAAAUGUAAUUUCAACAUAACAACAUCCUUAGAGAAAAUCUAAAAAGACUAGAGAUAGAAAUAGAGAGAAAAAGUGAAGAAUGGCAUACCAUUAUCGUUGUAUUCUGAAAACCCUGGAGUCCCUGUGCCUGAGUAGAGGAGAAG